rnacentral:rRNA from 1 species
AAUAUUGCGCAAUGGGGGGAACCCUGACGCAGCAACGCCGCGUGAGCGAAGAAGGCCUNCGGGUCNUNAAGCUCUGUCUAGAGGGNAGAUAGUGACAGUACCGCUGGAGGAAGCCCCGGCUAAUUACGGGCGAGUAGCCGCGGUAAUACGUAGGGGGCAAGGUCUGUCCGGAAUUCUGGGGCGUAAAGGGUGCGUAGGCGGCCUUUUAAGGCAGAUGUGAAAGCCCACGGCUUAACCGUGAGACUGCAUUUGAAACUGGAGGGCUUGAGUAUCGGAGAGGGUAGUGGAAUUCCCAGUAUAGCGGUGGAAUGCGUAGAUAUUGAGGGGAACACCAGUGGCGAAGGCGACUACCUGGACGAAAACUGACGCUGAGGCACGAAAGCUAGGGGAGCAAACA